rnacentral:lncRNA from 10 species
UCAGGUUCCUGUCUCAAAAAUCCGAAAAAGAAAUCCUCCCAAAUGACUCUGUGCCCGACGCUCCGUUAAGGCAUCGUGCUAGGCGUUCUCAAACUCGUGAAAUGACUACACUGCACAGGUUAACCUCAUUGCUACUCUUCCCCUUGCCUCCUAAUUCUCUGGUUAAACUUCCGCCCCCGAGGUUUCUAGAAAUCCCUGAGCUGGAAUGCGCUGCCUUCAUUAAGAGGGUGUUCUGCUUCCGUCUGCUCACAUUCAUCUAGUAAGCCCUCUCGUUAAAGAGGAGGCAGCACACCGAGGCCUGUCUAGAACUUCUUUCAUUUAACCAACAGUGAAUAUCUAAUCUACAAGAAACUGGAGCCGUGGCAGUUUAGGAGCCUGCCAAGGUUGCAUCCCUGGGAGCUUAUUUUCUAUUGUGGGAGACAGGAAAAGAACAAGUGAAUCAACUGUGAAAUUAAAUAAUUCAAACUUAAAGCUGUUGGAACUUUAAAUUAUUCUGAGCCUUGCGAAGAAUGUGGCGAUGGGGCCUGAGUCCCAUGGCAUACAGCUGCAAUGUCUGCCUUGUUUUUUCCUAUAAUCAGGAAGACCAAACAGAGACAGAGGCGCACACACCAAGAAAGGCCAUGUGGGCACACAGCAAGAUGGUGCCUGUCUGCAAACUAGGAAAAGAGCCCUCACCAGGAACUGAAACAGCUGGCACCUUGAUGUUGGACUUUCCAGCCUCCACAACUGUGAGAG